AUCUGCCUGGCUCUCUGCAUGCCAUCUGAGAAGCCUGUCAAAACAUUAGAUAUGCUCCAUAGUUGGCCUGCAGUGAGCCAUGCAGGA
rfam:Picea glauca, whole genome shotgun sequence.